rnacentral:rRNA from 1 species
UAUGUGAUCGUCUCUCGCAUAUCAAUAAGCGGAGGAAAAGAAACUAACAAGGAUUCCCCUAGUAACGGCGAGUGAAGCGGGAAGAGCUCAAAUUUGAAAUCUUAAAGGGUUUCCCUUUACGAAUUGUAGUUUAAAGAAGUGUUUUCUGUUGAGGUUUUGGUAAAAGUUCUUUGGAAUAGGACAUCAUAGAGGGUGAGAAUCCCGUAUUUGACCUUUACUUUCAACUUUGUGAUACACUUUCAAAGAGUCGGAUUGUUUGGGAAUGCAGUCCAAAAUGGGUGGUAAAUUUCAUCUAAAGCUAAAUAUUGGCGAGAGACCGAUAGCGAACAAGUACCGUGAGGGAAAGAUGAAAAGAACUUUGAAAAGAGAGUUAAACAGUACGUGAAAUUGUCAAAGAGGGAAGCGUUUGACACCAGUGUUGUUUUUCUGAAAAUCAAUUAAAGAACUGUUUAUGCUAAGUUGUUUAGACUUUAUCAGCUAUCUGCUUAGUUUUGAGCUUUUCUUUAAUGCACUUUUCAGUUAACAAGUCAACAUCAAUUUCUUUUGCUGUAAAAAAGCUUGAGGAAGGUGGCUUGAGAUUCGUCUUAAGUGUUUAUAGCCUCUUGCCUAUGCAGUCGGAGAGAUUGAGGUCUGCAGCGUAGAUCCUUCGGGGCUAAAUGCAUUUGUGCUAAGUUAUAGCAUUUUAUAGACAACUUGUUGACUAUGAUUUGUCUUGUAGCUUACUCGCUUAUGUUAUUUUACCUACGCUUAGGAUGUUGAAGAUAUGCGCGACACG